UUGCAUGUAAACACAAAUCAAUAUUUUAUUGUAGUUUUCCACAAGACAUCACUGUAUUUAUUAAUGACAGCCAACAAACUGUAACUAGACAGUGGCCUAGGGCAAAUGCCCAUCUACCAUUGCCAAUCUGCUACUGGACUGACUUUCUGCCAGUUACAGCUGUUGACCAGAUAGCCGACAAACUGUAACUAAACAGUGGCCUAGGGCAAAGCCGGAAAUGCCCAUCUACCAUUGCCAAUCUGCUACUGGACUGACUUUCUGCCAGUUACAGCUGUCGACCAGAUAGCCGACAAACUGCAACAAGACAUUGGCUAGGGCAAAGCUGGAAACACCCAUCUGCCAUUGCCAGCCUACUACUGGACUGACAUUAUGCCAGUUACAGCUGUCG